rnacentral:rRNA from 1 species
CAUGCAUGUCUAAGUAUAAAUAUUUUACUUUGAAACUGCGAAUAGCUCAUUACAACAGUUAUAAUUUAUUUGAUAGUCCCUUACUACUUGGAUACCCGUAGUAAUUCUAGAGCUAAUACAUGCAUUAAUACCCGACCUCUGGAAGGGUAGUAUUUAUUAGAUAGAAGCCAUCCGUUUCGACGUGUAAUGGUGAUUCAUAAUAACUUUGCGAAUCGCAUGGUGUAUGCCGGCGAUGGAUCAUUCAAGUUUCUGCCCUAUCAGCUUUGAUGGUAGUGUAUUGGACUACCAUGGCAGUGACGGGUAACGGGGGAUUAGGGUUUGAUUCCGGAGAGGGCGCCUGAGAGACGGCGACCACAUCCAAGGAAGGCAGCAGGCGCGUAAAUUACCCAAUUUCAACACGAAGAGGUAGUGACAAUAAAUAACAAUGCUGGGAUCGCAAGAUUCUGGCAAUUGGAAUGAGAACAAUUUAAAUCCCUUAUCAAGGAUCAAUUGGAGGGCAAGUCUGGUGCCAGCAGCCGCGGUAAUUCCAGCUCCAAUAGCGUAUAUUAAAGUUGUUGCAGUUAAAAAGCUCGUAGUCGGAUUUCUGGUUGGAGGGAUCGGUCUUGCCUCUCGGUAAGAAGUGUGUCCUUUUGACCAUCCUUGGACAGAUCCUGUCUGGCAUUAAGUUGUCGGGUGGGGAAAGUUCAUCAUUUACUGUGAGAAAAUUAGAGUGUUCAAAGCAGGCUUAUGCCUUGAAUAUAUUAGCAUGGAAUAACAAUAUAGGACUUUAGUGCUAUUUUGUUGGUUUGCGCACUGAAGUAAUGAUCAACAGGGACAGUUGGGGAUAUUGGUAUUCCAGUGUCAGAGGUGAAAUUCUUAGAUUACUGGAAGACUAACUACUGCGAAAGCAUUUAUCAAGGAUGUUUUCAUUGAUCAAGAACGAAAGUUAGGGGAUCGAAGAUGAUUAGAUACCAUCGUAGUCUUAACCAUAAACUAUGCCGACUCUGGAUGGGCGGGUGUCUCUUGACCUCGUCUGCACAGUAUGAGAAAUCAAAGUCUUUGGGUUCCGGGGGGAGUAUG